rnacentral:rRNA from 1 species
UACCAGCACCCCGAGUGGUCGGGACGUUUAUUGGGCCUAAAGCAUCCGUAGCCGGUUCUACAAGUCUUCCGUUAAAUCCACCUGCUUAACAGAUGGGCUGCGGAAGAUACUAUAGAGCUAGGAGGCGGGAGAGGCAAGCGGUACUCGACGGGUAGGGGUAAAAUCCGUUGAUCCAUUGAAGACCACCAGUGGCGAAGGCGGCUUGCCAGAACGCGCUCGACGGUGAGGGAUGAAAGCUGGGGGAGCAAACCGG